rnacentral:lncRNA from 1 species
CUUUCUAAUAAAAAAAUUUUUUUUUUCUUUGAAGAACUGAUUUCAUUGAGAGCCACGUCAUGGUUGUGUAUGACCUCAGGGGGAGGGGGAGGGGCAGGAUGGGCAUGGCCAGCUUGACGGCACUCGUGUCAGGGGCACCUGGUGGCCCAGGCAGGGCUGCGGGACACAACGGCCUCCUGCAGCCCUCUGCCAGGGAAAAUGGUGAGCCUUGGUGGCUGAGGCUGUUAAUUGCCUGCACUUAAGUUCCAGCUGCCUACAACUGCUGUAGGCUCGAAUCCCACCAGGCUCAAGGUGGACUCAGCCUUCCAUCCUCUUGGGGCAGGUAAAUUGAGGACCCAAGAUUGUUGGGGGCAAUAAGCUGACUUUGUAAAAAUGCCGCUUAGUAAUAAGCAGGCAUAUACAAUGGAAGGAAGGCUAUUGCUGAGCACACUGGGUUGCAUCCCAAAAAUUGUAAGCCGCCCUGAGUCUUCGGAGAAGGGUGGCAUAUAAAUGUAAUUUUUUUAAAAAAUGAAGCUCGAGGCCCCCUGUAUGCGUCUGUCCCACCCGGGACCCCAUUUUCAUUGGCAGAGCUACUGUAGACCAGUCCUACGCUGUUUCCAAGCGGCCCGUGGGCUAAAUCUAAGCACCCCGCCAACCGGAUCCAGCCCAUGAGCUUGACGCCCCUGGUCUAGAAACUUGUCAUUAAAAGGAACUAGGGAAGCAGAAAAACCACAGCUUUUAACAGCUCAGCUUGUUUGAAGCCUAAAAUUUACAAACCCGUGUUUCUAAAAGAAAACCUUGUCUUGAUGUCCUACCCAUCUAGGAUCAUUCGAACAAUGACCGCGAAGUCCCCCAAGAUUCAACCAAGCGUCGGAAAGAGGAAAACGGAACAACUGGUUCCUCCAAACAUAGUAAGAGUGAAAGUCCUUCCGACUCUCCCCCUCGUUCAAAUGAGAAGGAGAAAGAGAAGAACAAGUCAAAAUCUUCAAGCAAGGAGAAAGGUGAUUCCAUCAAAGUGGAAAAGAUGGAGAAAAGCUCUUCCGGGAGCAAAAAGGAGUCCAGGCACGAUAAGGAAAAAACAGAGAAGAAAGAAAAACGGGAUAGUACUGGGAACAAAGAAGAAAAGAAACACCAUAAAUCUUCAGACAAGCACAGAUAAUGAGCACUGUUCUGACCAAGGUGAGGUUCAGACAAGAAGAUGGUGAGCUGUGACCAGACAUAAAUUUUGAUUGCACAGAAGAUUGUGAACGAAGCGGACCUGUCUCCAUCUCCUUAACUUAUUCACCUCUCUGCUUUAUUUCUCUCCCAUUGCUGAAGAUGUUGAUGGUUGAGUUGUACAUUACUGUAAUUUUAAGUCGUCGCUUAAGUUUCUUAAAACAUUUAUUUUCAGUACUGUCUGGAAGUGUUACCUGUUCCGUAUUUUUUAGCACAAUGUGCUGCCAACAGUUGCCAUCGUGCAAAUGAGGGUUUUUCCCCACAUGUACAGAGUUCUUACUUUAGGUUAAUCAAAAAUACUUCCUCCGUUUAGCCAUAUUAUUAUUAUUAUUAUUAUUAUUAUUAUUAUUAUUAUUAUUAGUUUUUAUUUUCAAUUGGAAAUGCGUUAUUUUAGGUGUUUGAAAAAAAAAGAAGACAAACCCAACAACCAAUAAAAAGAGUUAUUGAACAUUUGGAUUUUUACCUCAUUUAAAGAAAAAUCCAGUUUUUAUUUAUUGUUUUUAAUAUUGAUAACUAAAACCAUGGGGGGAGGGGCACUUUUCAAGCAAUGCUGAGGAAAGUAUUUGUAUAUUAUGUGCACAACAGUGAAGUUGUUUAAAAAGAGAGAGAGAGAAGAAAGGAAACAGAGGAAUACCCCAUGCUCUGUUAUUCCGCAUGAUGCUCCUUAACGUUUGUCAUAAUGUUUUUAAAGAAAUGGGGAAAACUGCUUUCUUCCGAACAUGAAUUCAGACCAAUUAGGUUUCAAUAUUACAGCUACAGGAACUUUGUAUCGGUGGGACUUUUAGUCCAAAAAAAAAAUAAUAAAAAAUGAAAACAAAAAUGAAAAAAAAAAAAAAAAAAGUUUCACAAUGACCUUUUUAAAAAAAAACAAACAGACAAAACAAUUUUUUUAUCUGAAAUUCUACCAGUGUAAUCUUUUUUCUAAAUAAAAAAUAGUUUUCU